UUACGGGAGGCAGCAGUGGGGAAUAUUGGACAAUGGGCGCAAGCCUGAUCCAGCCAUGCCGCGUGUGUGAAGAAGGCCUUCGGGUUGUAAAGCACUUUUGUUGGGGAAGAAAAGAUGCCGGUUAAUACCCGGUGUUCAUGACGGUACCCAAAGAAUAAGCACCGGCUAACUUCGUGCCAGCAGCCGCGGUAAUACGAAGGGUGCAAGCGUUACUCGGAAUUACUGGGCGUAAAGCGUGCGUAGGUGGUUCGUUAAGUCUGUCGUGAAAGCCCCGGGCUCAACCUGGGAAUGGCGAUGGAUACUGGCGGGCUAGAGUGCGGUAGAGGAGAGUGGUAUUCCCGGUGUAGCAGUGAAAUGCGUAGAGAUCGGGAGGAACAUCAGUUGCGAAGGCGGCUCUCUGGACCAGCACUGACACUGAGGCACGAAAGCGUGGGGAGCAAACAGGAUUAGAUACCCUGGUAGC
rnacentral:rRNA from 1 species